rnacentral:rRNA from 1 species
AACGAGCGCUGGCGGCAGGCCUAACACAUGCAAGUCGAGCGGACCUUUCGGGGUCAGCGGCGGACGGGUGAGUAACGCGUGGGAAUAUGCCCUUCUCUACGGAAUAGUCCUGGGAAACUGGGGGUAAUACCGUAUACGCCCUUUGGGGGAAAGAUUUAUCGGGGAAGGAUUAGCCCGCGUUGGAUUAGGUAGUUGGUGGGGUAAUGGCCUACCAAGCCGACGAUCCAUAGCUGGUUUGAGAGGAUGAUCAGCCACACUGGGACUGAGACACGGCCCAGACUCCUACGGGAAGCAGCAGUGGGGAAUCUUAGACAAUGGGGGCAACCCUGAUCUAGCCAUGCCGCGUGAGUGAUGAAGGCCUUAGGGUUGUAAAGCUCUUUCAGCUGGGAAGAUAAUGGCGGUACCAGCAGAAGAAGCCCCGGCUAACUCCGUG